UUUUCUGAAUGAUAUGAACUAUGAAAGUGUAAUUGUACUUUGUAGUAGUUUCUGCUGAGAUGCAAUUUGGCUUAGGCAAAGUGGCAUUCGUUAUUAUAGUAAAAAUGGAAAGAGGUUACGAACAUAGAAAAUAUUGAAUUAUUGACGGAUCUCUCAAAACAGUCUCAGCUGGUUGUAGGUUGUUUGGUGAGGUUGCAGCUUGCAGGUUGCUGAGUUUCUCCUCUCUGCUUGUUGGUUUUCUUUGAUUAGUAGAACAAGUAGCACACCACGUGUUUGUGAAAAUGCUUCUCACAGAUGAAACUUUUUGUGUGCCUAGACCUGCCUUCUUUCUUAGGAGAAUAUGCUUGCUGAGACAUUAUGGUCUAAAUUUCAUAAAUAAGUUCGUGCAUUUCUUUUCCUGGGUUCAUUUAGGUAUCUAGAACGUGUGUUCCUUAUGUGUUUCUGUCAUUGUGUGAUGGUAUUUAUGUAUUUAACUUUUUGGAACUUUGUUUCAAGAUUUGCAUAGAGCGGACCACCUUGCAACAGUGUUGGGUUAUAUAACCCAUGGUUUCUUCAUGAUUCGACUUUAUUAUCAGAUCCAUGCAAGAGAACCCGGGCAGCAUGAUUUUGGCAGGAGAAAGGAGGAUUAUCAUUUCUAGAGGUGAGUUGAGCUGCGGCUUGGUUGGAGAUGUUGGUGCGGUUCAAGAGGCCCGUUGGGUUCACCCUUUUCAAGGUUCUAAACCAG